rnacentral:rRNA from 1 species
GACGAACGCUGGCGGCGUGCUUAACACAUGCAAGUCGAACGGAAAGGCACUGCUUUUGUGGUGUGCUCGAGUGGCGAACGGGUGAGUAACACGUGAGUAACCUGCCCUUGACUUUGGGAUAACUUCACGAAACUGGGGCUACUACCGGAUAGGAGCUCCUGCUGCAUGGUGGGCGUUGGAUAGUUUCGGCGGUUGGGGAUGGACUCGCGGCUUAUCAGCUUGUUGGUGGGGUAGUGGCUUACCAAGGCUUUGACGGGUAGCCGGCCUGAGAGGGUGACCGGCCACAUGGGGACUGAGAGACGGCCCAGACGCGUACGGGAGGCAGCAGGGGGAAAUAUGGCACAAUGGGCGGAAGCCUGAGGCAGAAGCGCCGCGGGUGGGAUGACGGCCUGCGGGUUGUAAAAAGCUUUCGGCUGUGACGAAGCGUGAGUGACGGUAAUGGGUAAAGAAGCACCGGCUAACUACGUG